ensembl:lncRNA
AUCUUUGCCAGCAUGUCCAAAGCAAAGAGGUUGUUAAACAGAGAUUUAAGUUGCUAGUAAAUGGGCUUGGGAGAAAAUUGAGGAUCGUCAGUCCCACCUUUGGCCAAUGUUCUGUAGGCUUCUGUGGCAGUACAGAGAUUUCAGGAGAAAUGCCUGAGGAGUCAAAGAAGAGGGAAACCACAGCCUAUUCAGUAAGCCUUUGAAUGAGCCAGUGGAAGGAUUUAUUACUCUACUGUAUAUGCUGCUUGACAUGCUGCCAGCCUGUGACCUUCUGCAAGGCGGUCUCAGAGCCAGCAGUGUAAAGGAUGAGAUGGAACUUCCUCCCACUGUCAUCACAAGCUGAGAGAAGAGAUGCUAACAGCCUGCUGUGUACUGCGGUGGAAGGCAGCUGGCACAGAAAGCGUGGAACCACAAGAAAAGGGCAAGCCAGAGCUUUUGCAAAGGGAGACAUUGGCAGUUUGCUGAAGUUUGUUAUGAUUAGUUUUGACUUAGUCUUCUUUGUCUCUUCGGCUUUUAUGGAGAGAAAAGGAACAAAAAUGUAGCAAAUGCUGUUUAAGAACAGCUACAAUUUGCUGUAAUGGUGCAUGGCCUCUCAACUUCAUUUUUAAUUAAUUUCCAAAUCCAG